rnacentral:tRNA from 1 species
GACCGCGUAGCUCAGUUGGCAAAGCAUCGGUCUAGUAUUCCAAAGGUCGUAGGUUCGAUUCCCACCGUGGCCG